rnacentral:rRNA from 1 species
GACGAACGCUGGCGGCGUGCUUAACACAUGCAAGUCGAACGGAAAGGCCCUGCUUUUGUGGGGUGCUCGAGUGGCGAACGGGUGAGUAACACGUGAGUAACCUGCCCUUGACUUUGGGAUAACUUCAGGAAACUGGGGCUAAUACCGGAUAUGAGCUCCUGCUGCAUGGUGGGGGUUGGAAAGUUUCGGCGGUUGGGGAUGGACUCGCGGCUUAUCAGCUUGUUGGUGGGGUAGUGGCUUACCAAGGCUUUGACGGGUAGCCGGCCUGAGAGGGUGACCGGCCACAUUGGGACUGAGAUACGGCCCAGACGCCGACGGGAGGCAGCAGUGGGGAAUAUUGCAGGAUGGGCGGAAGCCUGAUGCAGCAACGCCGCGUGCGGGAUGACGGCCUUCGGGUUGUAAACCGCUUUCGCCUGUGACGAAGCGUGAGUGACGGUAAUGGGUAAAAAAGCACCGGCUAACUACGUG